ACGGGUGAGUAACACGUGGAUUAUCUGCCUCUUGGUUCGGAAUAACCCCGGGAAACUGGGGCUAAUACCGAAUGGUUCCUACGGGAUAAAGAUUUAUCGCCAAGAGAUGAGUCCGCGUCCGAUUAGCUAGUUGGUGGGGUAACGGCCUACCAAGGCGACGAUCGGUAGCUGGUCUGAGAGGACGAUCAGCCACACUGGGACUGAGACACGGCCCAGACUCCUACGGGAGGCAGCAGUGGGGAAUAUUGGACAAUGGGGGCAACCCUGAUCCAGCCAUGCCGCGUGAGUGAUGAAGGCCUUCGGGUUGUAAAGCUCUUUUGGCGGGGACGAUGAUGACGGUACCCGCAGAAUAAGCCCCGGCUAACUUCGUGCCAGCAGCCGCGGUAAGACGAAGGGGGCUAGCGUUGUUCGGAAUUACUGGGCGUAAAGCGCGUGUAGGCGGUUGUUCAAGUCGGGUGUGAAAGCCUUGAGCUCAACUCAAGAAAUGCACUCGAUACUGGAUGACUUGAGGACCGGAGAGGAUAGUGGAAUUCCCAGUGUAGUGGUGAAAUACGUAGA
rnacentral:rRNA from 2 species